UGGGCUUCCUUUUCUGUCGUUUCACGCACCGGCACCUUUUUAAAAGGAUCGUUUUAGCACCGGUAUCGGAAAAGACCCAAACAAUACCCAACCCUAUUGUAU